UACGUAGGGGGCAAGCGUUGUCCGGAAUUAUUGGGCGUAAAGAGCGUGUAGGCGGUCCGGUAAGUCCGCUGUGAAAGUCCAGGGCUCAACCCUGGAAUGCCGGUGGAUACUGCCGGGCUAGAGUCCGGAAGAGGCGAGUGGAAUUCCUGGUGUAGCGGUGAAAUGCGCAGAUAUCAGGAGGAACACCGGUGGCGAAGGCGGUUCUCUGGGCCUUACCUGACGCUGAGGAGCGAAAGCAUGGGGAGCAAACAGG
rnacentral:rRNA from 1 species